rnacentral:lncRNA from 1 species
UUGACUUAGUGGUAACACUGAAUGGCAAUGACUCAUAUGCGCCUGGUUCGAUUCCCCCUGGGUGCAAAAUUGAAAUUUUUUCUCAAAUAAAUUAAAAAAAGCAAAAAACGAAAAAAAAUAAUAAAAAAAUCGGUCCCGCCAGCCAUUUCAAAUGGCGGGAAUGACAAAAAAAAAUAUAAAAAGAAAAAGCUGACCAGUCACGAUGUGACAUGUGUCAGACCGGCGGCCAGUCCCGCCGUUUCAAAUGGCGGGAACGCGCUAAAGGACAAAAAAAAAAAAAA